rnacentral:rRNA from 1 species
AACGAACGCUGGCGGCAGGCCUAACACAUGCAAGACGAGCGAGAUCUUCGGGUCUAGCGGCGGACGGGUGAGUAACGCGUGGGAAUAUGCCUCUUGGUACGGAAUAGCCUCGGGAAACUGGGAGUAAUACCGUAUGUGCCCUUUGGGGGAAAGAUUUAUCGCCAAGAGAUUAGCCCGCGUUGGAUUAGGUAGUUGGUGGGGUAAUGGCCUACCAAGCCGACGAUCCAUAGCUGGUUUGAGAGGAUGAUCAGCCACACUGGGACUGAGACACGGCCCAGACCCCUACGGGAGGCAGCGGGGGGGAAUUUUAGAAAAGGGGGGAAACCCUGAUCUAGCCAUGCCGGGUGAGUGAUGAAGGCCUUAGGGUUGUAAAGCUCUUUCAGCGGGGAAGAAAAGGACGGUACCAGCAAAAGAAACCCCGGCUAACUCCGU